CCCUCACUGGAGGCUCCUGAGAGCUAUGGGGGGAACUUUUGUGGUUCUCUGUGUCUACUGAGAGGCUGCUGGGCUCUCUACCUGCUUUUUUGUGGUUCUGGCUUAGAACUGCAGCUGGGUUCUCCUUUCUUUUGGGGGGGGGUCAUCAUGGUACUCUCAUCUGGUUUCUACUUCUUGGUUUGGGGGCGGUUGGCUCAGGAUUGCUGCUUUAUUUCUUGAGGCAAAACACAACUCUAAGGUUGUGGGUGCUGCAGUUCCUCCUACUCCUCUUGAUGGAGAGGCGAUCAGGAUGAGGCUGUGCCCUCAAGCCCAGCACUGGUGCUGCUUAGUGUGAGAACUGCAGUGGCACCUUUUACAGCAAGGAUCAAUGGAAGCCCUUGAGCAGCUUUGCCGCCAGGGAAACUACGGAGGCUGAAGAAGACAUCCAUCCUGCUGCAAGCCUAGAUGCCCGAGGGGACAUCCUUGCCUGGGUGCUCCCUGCUUGGCCCUAACGAGGCCCAUCAGUGCUAAUGAAGAAAUGACCUCCAGCUAGUGCACGUGGCUGCUUAUGUGCUCACAUCCUGCCUGCUUUGGAGGUUUGGGGCCAGCGGGAGGAUGCCGGUGGCGUUAAAGCGCAGAUGGACCCGGAGAGCGAGGCGAGCGCGGAGCGCCCUCGGGAUGGAGUCGUAAGCCGGGCGUCGGAAGACAGACUCUGCUCUUGCGGUCGGGGGUGCGCAGGUUGCGGUGCAGUUGACGACGUUGAGGAAGGCCACCAGCCCUGCCCUCGCGGAACGCGUUGAAGAGCCUCGAGGCACGUUAGCGAGCAGGGAGCGACCGGCGGCCGCCCUGAAGGAGAGUCGUGGCUGAAACCGCCGUUCCCGCGCUCGGUGCGCGUCCUGACUCGCAAGCAACUGCCCAAGUACGGUAACGGGCGUCCCGCUCCAUCAGCGUCGCAGCGCCUCCGGUUGGACCAGGCUGUCAAGUAAGCGUUACGCUUUUGGUCUAUUUUUUCAGUGUUUUUCUUAAGUGAAGCUAUGUUAAAUGAAAGCUGUUUGUUUUGACGCGGUGGAGGAAGGAGCGCCUUGUUUUAGUAAGGCGUUGUAAGUUAGCAGCAUAGCGAAAGAUGGAUUGUAUUGGUGCAUCAGCAUUGCGGUAGUCAUCUCGUUCACUGUAGGUGGAGAGAUUGUAUCGGUAUCUUGGUUUUGGCUUGUGGCGGCUUUUUUUUUUUUUUUUUUUGUCUGUCUCGUUUGCUGGAGAGAUUGUAUUUUGCAGUCAUCUUAGUUUUGGCUUUUUUUCUGUCUUUGAGCUUGCGGUCAUCUUGUUUUUUUGGGGGGGGCUGUGCUUUGUGGUAGUUGUGUCUUGGCAUCUUGGUUUUUUUUUUUUUGCUGUCUUGCUGGAGAGAUUGUAUUUUGUGGGUUUUUUUUUUUGGCUGUCUUGUUUUCUGUUGAGGUUGUAUUUUGUAGUUAUCUUGGUUUCUGGUUCUGUUUUUUUUUGUCUUGUGAUCAUCUUAGUUUUGGUAGUUGUCUUGUUUUCUGUUGAGGUUGUAUUUUGUAGUUAUCUUGGU